CAGUAGCCGCGGGAAAACGAAGGGUGCAAGCGUUACUCGGAAUUACUGGGCGUAAAGCGUGCGUAGGUGGUGGUUUAAGUCCGUUGUGAAAGCCCUGGGCUCAACCUGGGAACUGCAUCCAAAACUGGUGAGCUAGAGUACGGUAGAGGGUAGUGGAAUUUCCUGUGUAGCGGUGAAAUGCGUAGAUAUAGGAAGGAACACCAGUGGCGAAGGCGACUACCUGGACUGAUACUGACACUGAGGUGCGAAAGCGUGGGGAGCAAACAGGAUUAGAUACCCCUGUAGUCCCUGUCUCUUAUAA
rnacentral:rRNA from 1 species